rnacentral:misc_RNA from 1 species
AAAUGCGAUAAGUAAUGUGAAUUGCAGAAUUCAGUGAAUCAUCGAAUCUUUGAACGCACAUUGCGCCCGCCAGUAUUCUGGCGGGCAUGCCUGUCCGAGCGUCAUUUCAACCAUCCAGCCCCCGGGCUUGUGUUGGGGACCUGCGGCUGCCCGCAGGCCCUGAAAACCAGUGGCGGGCUCGCUGUCACACCGAGCGUAGUAGCAAUCACCUCGCUCAGGGCGUGCUGCGGGUUCCGGCCGUUAAACAGCCUUACAAAACCCAAGGUUGACCUCGGAUCAGGUAGGAAGACCCGCUGAACUUAAGC